rnacentral:rRNA from 1 species
AACGCGAAGAACCUUACCUGGGCUUGAACCGCUACUGACCAACGGUAGAAAUAUCGUCUUCCCGCAAGGGACAGUAGUAGAGGUGCUGCAUGGCUGUCGUCAGCUCGUGCCGUGAGGUGUUGGGUUAAGUCCCGCAACGAGCGCAACCCUUAUUCGUAGUUGCCACCCGCAAGGGGGAACUCUACGAGGACUGCUCCGGAUAACGGAGAGGAAGGUGGGGAUGACGUCAAGUCAGCACGGCCUUUAUGUCCAGGGCUACACACGUGUUACAAUGCGCGGCACAGACUGUUGCGAACCCGCGAGGGGGAGCUAAUCGGAAAAAACCGCGCUCAGUUCGGAUUGCAGUCUGCAACUCGACUGCAUGAAGCUGGAAUCGCUAGUAAUGGCGUAUCAGAUCGACGCCGUGAAUACGUUCCCGGGCCUUGUACACACCGUGUCGA